GCCUGGGUGGCUCAGUCAGUUAAGCAUCUGACUUCAGCUCAGGUCAUGAUCUCAUGGUUUGUGGGUUCAAGCCCCGUAUCAGGCU
rnacentral:tRNA from 1 species